UACGUAGGGGGCUAGCGUUGUCCGGAAUCAUUGGGCGUAAAGCGCGCGUAGGCGGCCCGGUAAGUCCGUUGUGAAAGUCAAAGGCUCAACCUUUGAAAGCCGAUGGAUACUGCCGGGCUGGAGUCCGGAAGAGGCGAGUGGAAUUCCUGGUGUAGCGGUGGAAUGCGCAGAUAUCAGGAGGAACACCAAUAGCGAAGGCAGCUCGCUGGGACGGUACUGGCGCUGAGGCGCGAAAGCGUGGGGAGCGAACAGG
rnacentral:rRNA from 1 species